rnacentral:rRNA from 1 species
AGUGAACGCUGGCGGUAGGCCUAACACAUGCAAGUCGAACGGCAGCACAGUAAGAUCUUGCUCUUACGGGUGGCGAGUGGCGGACGGGUGAGGAAUACAUCGGAAUCUACUUUUUCGUGGGGGAUAACGUAGGGAAACUUACGCUAAUACCGCAUACGACCUACGGGGGAGAGCAGGGGAUCUUCGGACCUUGCGCGGUUGAAUGAGCCGAUGUCGGAUUAGCUAGUGGGCGGGGUAAAGACCCACCAAGGCGACGAUUCGUAGCUGGUGUGAGAGGAUGAUAGGCGACCCUGGAACUGAGACACGGUCCAGACUACUACGGGAGGCAGCAGUGGGGAAUAGUGGACAAUGGGCGCAAGUCUGAUCCAGCCAUACCGCGUGGGUGACGAAGGCCUUCGGGUUGUAAAGCCGUUUUGUUGGGAAAGAAAAGCAGCAGGUUAAUACCCCGCUGUUCUGACGGUACCCAGAGAAUAAGCACCGGCUAACUUCGUG